GGCGGCGUGCUAUACAUGCAGUCGAGCGAACAGGACGAGGAAGCUUGCUUCUCUGAUGUUAGCGGCGGACGGGUGAGUAACACGUGGAUAACCUACCUAUAAGACUGGGAUAACUUCGGGAAACCGGAGCUAAUACCGGAUAAUAUUUUGAACCGCAUGGUUCAAAAGUGAAAGACGGUCUUGCUGUCACUUAUAGAUGGAUCCGCGCUGCAUUAGCUAGUUGGUAAGGUAACGGCUUACCAAGGCAACGAUGCAUAGCCGACCUGAGAGGGUGAUCGGCCACACUGGAACUGAGACACGGUCCAGACUCCUACGGGAGGCAGCAGUAGGGAAUCUUCCGCAAUGGGCGAAAGCCUGACGGAGCAACGCCGCGUGAGUGAUGAAGGUCUUCGGAUCGUAAAACUCUGUUAUUAGGGAAGAACAUAUGUGUAAGUAACUGUGCACAUCUUGACGGUACCUAAUCAGAAAGCCACGGCUAACUACGUGCCAGCAGCCGCGGUAAUACGCAAGCGUUAUCCGAAUUAUUGGGCGUAAAGCGCGCGUAGGCGGUUUUUUAAGUCUGAUGUGAAAGCCCACGGCUCAACCGUGGAGGGUCAUUGGAAACUGGAAAACUUGAGUGCAGAAGAGGAAAGUGGAAUUCCAUGUGUAGCGGUGAAAUGCGCAGAGAUAUGGAGGAACACCAGUGGCGAAGGCGACUUUCUGGUCUGUAACUGACGCUGAUGUGCGAAAGCGUGGGGAUCAAACAGGAUUAGAUACCCUGGUAGUCCACGCCGUAAACGAUGAGUGCUAAGUGUUAGGGGGUUUCCGCCCCUUAGUGCUGCAGCUAACGCAUUAAGCACUCCGCCUGGGGAGUACGACCGCAAGGUUGAAACUCAAAGGAAUUGACGGGGACCCGCACAAGCGGUGGAGCAUGUGGUUUAAUUCGAAGCAACGCGAAGAACCUUACCAAAUCUUGACAUCCUUUGACAACUCUAGAGAUAGAGCUUUCCCCUUCGGGGGACAAAGUGACAGGUGGUGCAUGGUUGUCGUCAGCUCGUGUCGUGAGAUGUUGGGUUAAGUCCCGCAACGAGCGCAACCCUUAAGCUUAGUUGCCAUCAUUAAGUUGGGCACUUAAGUUGACUGCCGGUGACAAACCGGAGGAAGGUGGGGAUGACGUCAAAUCAUCAUGCCCCUUAUGAUUUGGGCUACACACGUGCUACAAUGGACAAUACAAAGGGCAGCGAAACCGGAGGUCAAGCAAAUCCCAUAAAGUUGUUUCAGUUCGGAUUGUAGUUGCAACUCGACUACAUGAAGCUGGAAUCGCUAGUAAUCGUAGAUCAGCAUGUACGGUGAAUACGUUCCCGGGUUUGUACCCCCCCGUCCACCACGAGAGUUUGUAACACCCGAAGCCGGUGGAGUAACCUUUUAGGAGCUAGCCGUCGAAGG
rnacentral:rRNA from 1 species